GGAAACUUGAGCUAAUACCGGAUGUGCCCUUCGGGGGAAAGAUUUAUCGCCWUUGGAGCGGCCCGCGUUGGAUUAGCUAGUUGGUGGGGUAAAGGCCCACCAAGGCUCCGAUCCAUAGCUGGUCUGAGAGGAUGAUCAGCCACACUGGGACUGAGACACGGCCCAGACUCCUACGGGAGGCAGCAGUGGGGAAUCUUGCGCAAUGGGCGAAAGCCUGACGCAGCCAUGCCGCGUGAAUGAUGAAGGUCUUAGGA
rnacentral:rRNA from 1 species